rnacentral:tRNA from 1 species
AGCUUCGAGGUGUUUACACAUCAAAUUGCAAGUUUGAAGUAGGGCCCAAGAGUGCCCCGGGGCUU